rnacentral:ncRNA from 1 species
CAAACGAAACGACAAACCUAUUGAAAGUAGGGACUCAAAAUUAUGGACCUCAGGAAGAUAAUUUUCACGGCUGCCAAGUUACCGAA